UAGAGUUUGAUCAUGGCUCAGAUUGAACGCUGGCGGCAGGCCUAACACAUGCAAGUCGAGCGGAAACGAGUUAUCUGAACCUUCGGGGAACGAUAACGGCGUCGAGCGGCGGACGGGUGAGUAAUGCCUAGGAAAUUGCCCUGAUGUGGGGGAUAACCAUUGGAAACGAUGGCUAAUACCGCAUAAUACCUACGGGUCAAAGAGGGGGACCUUCGGGCCUCUCGCGUCAGGAUAUGCCUAGGUGGGAUUAGCUAGUUGGUGAGGUAAUGGCUCACCAAGGCGACGAUCCCUAGCUGGUCUGAGAGGAUGAUCAGCCACACUGGAACUGAGACACGGUCCAGACUCCUACGGGAGGCAGCAGUGGGGAAUAUUGCACAAUGGGCGCAAGCCUGAUGCAGCCAUGCCGCGUGUGUGAAGAAGGCCUUCGGGUUGUAAAGCACUUUCAGUCGUGAGGAAGGUAGUGUAGUUAAUAGCUGCAUUAUUUGACGUUAGCGACAGAAGAAGCACCGGCUAACUCCGUGCCAGCAGCCGCGGUAAUACGGAGGGUGCGAGCGUUAAUCGGAAUUACUGGGCGUAAAGCGCAUGCAGGUGGUUUGUUAAGUCAGAUGUGAAAGCCCGGGGCUCAACCUCGGAAUAGCAUUUGAAACUGGCAGACUAGAGUACUGUAGAGGGGGGUAGAAUUUCAGGUGUAGCGGUGAAAUGCGUAGAGAUCUGAAGGAAUACCGGUGGCGAAGGCGGCCCCCUGGACAGAUACUGACACUCAGAUGCGAAAGCGUGGGGAGCAAACAGGAUUAGAUACCCUGGUAGUCCACGCCGUAAACGAUGUCUACUUGGAGGUUGUGGCCUUGAGCCGUGGCUUUCGGAGCUAACGCGUUAAGUAGACCGCCUGGGGAGUACGGUCGCAAGAUUAAAACUCAAAUGAAUUGACGGGGGCCCGCACAAGCGGUGGAGCAUGUGGUUUAAUUCGAUGCAACGCGAAGAACCUUACCUACUCUUGACAUCCAGAGAACUUUCCAGAGAUGGAUUGGUGCCUUCGGGAACUCUGAGACAGGUGCUGCAUGGCUGUCGUCAGCUCGUGUUGUGAAAUGUUGGGUUAAGUCCCGCAACGAGCGCAACCCUUAUCCUUGUUUGCCAGCACUUCGGGUGGGAACUCCAGGGAGACUGCCGGUGAUAAACCGGAGGAAGGUGGGGACGACGUCAAGUCAUCAUGGCCCUUACGACCAGA
rnacentral:rRNA from 1 species